GAUGAACGCUAGCGGCAGGCCUAAUACAUGCAAGUCGAACGCUCAGUAGCAAUACUGGGAGUGGCGCACGGGUGCGUAACGCGUACACAAUCUACCUCUAAGCGGGGACACCUCCUGGAAACGGGGAUUAAUACCGCAUAAUAUGCCGAGGUCGCAUGACUUUGGUAUUAAAGCAGCAAUGCACUUAGAGAUGAGUGUGCGUCCCAUUAGGUAGUUGGUGAGGUAACGGCUCACCAAGCCUAUGAUGGGUAGCCGGUCUGAGAGGAUGGUCGGCCACACGGGCACUGAGACACGGCCGACUCCUACGGGAGGGCGAGCAGUAAGGAAGUAAUUGGUUCG
rnacentral:rRNA from 1 species